rnacentral:tRNA from 1 species
GUUAGGAUAGUUUAAUAAAAAUAAAAAUUUGUGGAGUUUUAGAUAGAAACAUUUCUUCCUAACA